UACGGAAGGGGCUAGCGUUGUUCGGAAUCACUGGGCGUAAAGCGCGCGUAGGCGGCCGGUCAAGUGCGGCGUGAAAGUCCUGGGCUCAACCCGGGGACGGCGCUGCGGACUGUCCGGCUGGAGUCCGGAAGAGGGUGGUGGAAUUCCGAGUGUAGAGGUGAAAUUCGUAGAUAUUCGGAGGAACACCGGUGGCGAAGGCGGCCACCUGGUCCGGUACUGACGCUCAAGCGCGAAAGCGUGGGGAGCAAACAGG
rnacentral:rRNA from 2 species